rnacentral:misc_RNA from 1 species
UUAAGUUCAGCGGGUAGUCCUACCUGAUUUGAGGUCAAAUUGUCAUGUAUGUUGUCCAGAUGAACGGACAGUUAGAAGCGAUGCACACAAGACAUCCAUGGCGUAGAUAAUUAUCACACCAAAUAGACAGUCCACGCGGGGCACCAGCUAAUGCAUUUAAGGGGAGCUGACCUCUGAAGAAGCCGGCAAAAAAGGACCCC